CCCCUGCCUCCCCCGGUCCCCUCACGGGGCGCCCGCCAGCGGCCGCGAGCCGCCCGAACUUUUUUAACAACCGUAACCGUCCCGUCUGAGAAACAAACAAAAACAGCCAAAACUUUCAACAACGGAUCUCUUGGCUCUGGCAUCGAUGAAGAACGCAGCGAAAUGCGAUACGUAAUGCGAAUUGCAGAAUUCAGCGAGUCAUCGAAUCUUUGAACGCACAUUGCGCCCGCCAGCAUUCUGGCGGGCAUGCCUGUCCGAGCGUCAUUUCCCCCCUCAGCGCGCCCCUUUCGGGGGGAGGCGCUGGCGUUGGGGCUCCUCCGCCCUCCGCGGCGGCAGGGCCCCCAAAUCCAGUGGCGGGCCCGGCUGGUUGGCUCCGAGCGCAGUACCGAACGCAAGUUCUCUCCCUCGCUCUGCAGCCCCGGCCGGCGCCCAGCCGUCAAGCCGCGCAGGCUGGCCCCAGCGUUCGCGCUGCGGCCGCCUCGCAUCUUUUACAAGGUUGA
rnacentral:rRNA from 1 species